GAUGAACGCUGGCGGCGUGCCUAAUACAUGCAAGUCGAACGCACAGCGAAAGGUGCUUGCACCUUUCAAGUGAGUGGCGAACGGGUGAGUAACACGUGGACAACCUGCCUCAAGGCUGGGGAUAACAUUUGGAAACAGAUGCUAAUACCGAAUAAAACUCAGUGUCGCAUGACACAAAGUUAAAAGGCGCUUUGGCGUCACCUAGAGAUGGAUCCGCGGUGCAUUAGUUAGUUGGUGGGGUAAAGGCCUACCAAGACAAUGAUGCAUAGCCGGGUGGAGAGACUGAUCGGCCACAUUGGGACUGAGACACGGCCCAAACUCCUACGGGAGGCUGCAGUAGGGAAUCUUCCACAAUGGGCGAAAGCCUGAUGGAGCAACGCCGCGUGUGUGAUGAAGGCUUUCGGGUCGUAAAGCACUGUUGUAUGGGAAGAACAGCUAGAAUAGGGAAUGAUUUUAGUUUGACGGUACCAUACCAGAAAGGGACGGCUAAAUACGUGCCAGCCGCCGCCGUAA
rnacentral:rRNA from 1 species